GGUCGGUUAGGUCAGUUGGUUAGAGCGUGGUGCUAAUGGGCUUUGUCUUGUAAACGCCAAGGCCAAUAGUUCAACCCUCUUACUGACGA